GAUGAACGCUGGCGGUGUGCCUAAUACAUGCCAGUCGAGCGAACAGACGAGGAGCUUACUCCUCUGACGUUAGCGGCGGACGGGUGAGUAACACGUGGAUAACCUACCUAUAAGACUGGGAUAACUUCGGGAAACCGGAGCUAAUACCGGAUAACAUGUUGAACCGCAUGGUUCAACAGUGAAAGACGGUCUUGCUGUCACUUAUAGAUGGAUCCGCGUCGCAUUAGCUAGUUGGUAAGGUAACGGCUUACCAAGGCAACGAUGCGUAGCCGACCUGAGAGGGUGAUCGGCCACACUGGAACUGAGACACGGUCCAGACUCCUACGGGAGGCAGCAGUAGGGAAUCUUCCGCAAUGGGCGAAAGCCUGACGGAGCAACGCCGCGUGAGUGAAGAAGGUCUUCGGAUCGUAAAACUCUGUUAUUAGGGAAGAACAAGUGUGUAAGUAACUAUGCACGUCUUGACGGUACCUAAUCAGAAAGCCACGGCUAACUACGUG
rnacentral:rRNA from 1 species